UUAAUUCAAAUACUUAAUAUUAAAAAAUCCAGUUUUAGUUCGGAAGAGAAAUAUAAUUAAAUAGAUUAAAAUAUUGUAUUAGCCAUAUUUGGACAAUCGAUUAUCGAUUCUUCGCGUCUCGAUUAUGCGUCUGCGCGUUAUGUAAGCAGUAAUAAUACGCGGAUGCAUAGUCGCCAGGAUUCAAAGAGAGAAAAAAAAACAGAGAGCAACUUGUUCAACGAACAGACUUUCUCUCAUCUCGACAUCCUUCUCUGAUGCCAACAACUUCCUUCAAUGAUAUAAUCAAGAAUUAGCAUUAAGCGGCUAUAGAAGCAGAAUAUAUGCAUAAGAAUAAAAAAGAAAAUGCAGCAAUUUAUAACACUCGUGUAAAUACAAAUUCUCAUAUGCGACCACGGAAAUUCACCGAUUAUAUACAUUUCCUUUUCGUUUAAUCGCGAUUACGUACAAUGCGUGCGUAACAACGUAACAAAGAAAUAAAAAGAUUACGAGACAAACAGCACAAUUGUGAAUACGCUCAAUUAAAUAAUAAAUUAAACCAAUAAAUUUAAUAAACAUUCCAAAU